GGGAGCCCUGUCUGGCCCUGUUUGAGGCGAAGGACACAGCCGCCGACCCGCCGUCACCAGGUCAGAGGGUGGGCUGUGGUUGAUUGCUACGGGCCUGGUUUCUCGCAGCUGCUGGGCCCGAGGGAGUUCACGGACUGCCUGUGGGCUUUCCCGGGGACAUAAGUUCUGGAAAACACCGCCUCAUCACAGUGGAUCCUGAAACUGCUUUCUGAAACUGAUACUUGUGCUUCAUGGUUAGAAGACACACAAACCAUCUCAGGUGUUGCUAAUCAAACUCUGAAGGCCUGCAAAGAGGAAUGCUAGAAAGCCUCACAUACUAGGCUAGGCCAAUCCAAAGGAGCCUUCCUGAGCAAAAUGGAUUCUGGUAACCAUCCUUGUUGCCAAAAGCUGGUUUUGGAGAGCUAAAAAUCUUGUGAAGCUGCAGCUU